rnacentral:rRNA from 1 species
CCUACGGGGGGCAGCAGUGAGGAAUAUUGGUCAAUGGACGAGAGUCUGAACCAGCCAAGUAGCGUGAAGGAUGACUGCCCUAUGGGUUGUAAACUUCUUUUAUAAAGGAAUAAAACGAGGCACGUGUGCCUUUUUGCAUGGACGUUAUGAAUAAGGAUCGGCUAACUCCGUGCCAGCAGCCGGGGUAAUACGGAGGAUCCGAGCGUUAUCCGGAUUUAUUGGGGUUAAAGGGAGCGUAGAUGGGUUGUUAAGUCAGUUGUUAAAGUUUGCGGCUUCACCGUUAAACUGCCAUUUAAACUGGGCAUUCUUAGUUCAGUUUAGGUUAGCCGAAUUCCUUGUGUAGCCGUUAAAUUCUU